GAUUCCCGCCGUGAGGUAAACGCCAGUGGAGCAGAGUCCCGCGGAAGAGGACGGCGAGGCGAGCGGCGCGGCUGGGCCGGCUCGGGUCGGUGGCGGAGCCCUCGCGCGUGAGAGCUUCCGGGCGCGUCUCGCUCCUCCAGCGGCCCGGACGCCAGUGUCGCGCAGGCCCAAGCCGCUUCCCUCGGCGCCGCGCCUGCCCUUGGCCGCGGCGGGUGACGCAGCCGGAACAUGUCGUCCGCGGUGGAGCCUCCGCCGCUCCCGCCUCCCGAAAGCGCGCCUUCCAAGCCCUCGGCGGUGGGCGCCGGCUGGAGCAGCAGCGGCAACAAAGGCGGCCCCGAGGGCUGCGCGGCGUCCGCGGCUCCGUGUGCUGCGGGUUCGGGCCCCGGCCCCGCGGACACCGCGAUGGAGGAAGUAUUUGAUGAUGGAUCACCUGGAAAGAAAAAAAAGAUCCAAGAACCAGAUCCUACAUAUGAAGAAAAAAUGCAAACUGACCGAGCAAAUAGAUUUUUUAUUUAUUAAAAAUAAUAUUUAUUAAAGCCGACAGAGCUGUUCGCACAUUUCAUUCAGCCUGCUGCUCAGAAGACUCCAACCUCACCCUUGAAGAUGAAACCAGGGCGCCCACGGGUAAAAAAGGAUGAAAAACAGAAUUUGCUUUCAGUUGGAGAUUACCGACACUGUAGAACAGAGCAAGAGGAGGAUGAAGAGCUAUUAACAGAACGUUCCAAAGCAACUAAUGUUUGUACUCGAUUUGAAGAUUCUCCAUCAUAUGUAAAAUGGGGUAAACUGAGAGAUUAUCAGGUGCGAGGAUUGAAUUGGCUCAUCUCUCUGUAUGAGAAUGGCAUCAAUGGGAUCCUUGCAGAUGAAAUGGGUUUGGGAAAGACACUUCAAACAAUUUCUCUUCUUGGAUACAUGAAACACUAUAGAAAUAUUCCUGGUCCUCAUAUGGUUUUGGUUCCCAAGUAUACAUUGCACAACUGGAUUAGUGAAUUCAAGAGAUGGAUACCAACACUUAGGUCUGUUUGCUUGAUAGGAGAUGAAGAGCAAAGAGCUGUAUUUGUCAGGGAUGUUUUAUUACCAGGAGAGUGGGAUGUGUGUGUCACAUCUUAUGAAAUGCUUAUUAAAGAGAAAGUCUGUGUUCAAAAAAAUUCAGCUGGAGAUACUUAGUUAUAGAUGAAGCUCACAGGAUAAAAAAAUG